rnacentral:lncRNA from 1 species
CCAGCUGUUCUAACACCUCCUGCCUGCCAGUACUGACUCUUUAUGCAUGGGGGCUUCCGGCUUAUCUAUACUUCGAAGACAGUGAACUAGGUUAACCAGAUAUAGGACUCCUCUGUCUUGCUACGAUGGACAGCCACAAGGAUUCACUUGAAUAAAAGAAGCAACAGUGGGUGCCAGGCUGUUUGAAAUGUGCUGUUUUGUUAUACAUUUAUUACAAAGAAUCUCACAAAAAGAAAAUAUUUCAAAAAGAAUGCCAGGCUAAAGAACCUCCACCUGGAGAACUGGGGGAAGGCAGGGCAAUAAUAUCAACGUCAACAUACAGCACCCUCUGGCCAUACUUUAGCAGUUCCAGGAUGGCCAAGACGACAUCGUUGAUGUAACAGAAACCUGAGGCGUCAGACUUCUUUACAUGAUGCAGUCCCCCAGCCUGGCUCGCAGUGAUGUCCCUCUGAUGUGUAUCAAGUUUCACAGCACUUUCCAAAGAGCCACCAAUAGACAACUGACAACUCAGACAGGCCAUCGAUUACCGGGAAGUCCUCACCAACGCGGAAUCUCUGCAUCUGCUUGCUGUAUUUAGACACAUUAUCUGGGCGAAUAGAGCACAAGAGUUUAAUGUAGUCAUCACUGUGGGACUUGGUCAUCUCCUCAGCGUUGGCUCUGUGAGGACGAUAGAUUUCCAUUUUUUGGUAGAGAUGUAGUUGAGCUGCAAAUCACGAGUCAUGUGGAUUCGGUGAGGCUUCAUUGGGUGGCCCUGUCCAUAAGAUAGUUUCCAACAUCCCUGUUAACAGACGUUCCUCUUGCCCUGAGUCUGUGCCAUCUUUCUCACCACCCAGUGCUCCUGCCAGUCUGAUGUUUUAAUAUUUUUAGAUGGUGAUGCUUUGAGUUUAAAUGGCCUUUGACAAAUUCUAUCCUAAUUUCUAAUUAAGACAAGGAAAGAAAACAAAGAUGGAUAAGGACCAUAAAGUAAUGAAUGGACUGGAAACAGAAGUAAACUUAUUCAACAAUAAAA